GUGGGGAAUAUUGGACAAUGGGCGAAAGCCUGAUCCAGCCAUGCCGCGUGUGUGAAGAAGGUCUUCGGAUUGUAAAGCACUUUAAGUUGGGAGGAAGGGCAGUAAGUUAAUACCUUGCUGUUUUGACGUUACCGACAGAAUAAGCACCGGCUAACUUCGUGCCAGCAGCCGCGGUAAUACGAAGGGUGCAAGCGUUAAUCGGAAUUACUGGGCGUAAAGCGCGCGUAGGUGGUUUUGUAAGUUGGAGGUGAAAUCCCCGGGCUCAAACUGGGAACUGCCUCCAAAACUGCAUGACUAGAGUACGGUAGAGGGUAGUGGAAUUGCCUGUGUAGCGGUGAAAUGCGUAGAUAUAGGAAGGAACACCAGUGGCGAAGGCGACUACCUGGACUGAUACUGACACUGAGGUGCGAAAGCGUGGGGAGCAAACAGGAUUAGAUACCCGAGUAGUCC
rnacentral:rRNA from 1 species